rnacentral:rRNA from 1 species
ACGGGAGGCAGCAGUGGGGAAUAUUGCACAAUGGGGGAAACCCUGAUGCAGCGACGCCGCGUGAGUGAAGAAGUAUUUCGGUAUGUAAAGCUCUAUCAGCAGGGAAGAAAAUGACGGUACCUGACUAAGAAGCCCCGGCUAACUACGUGCCAGCAGCCGCGGUAAUACGUAGGGGGCAAGCGUUAUCCGGAUUUACUGGGUGUAAAGGGAGCGUAGACGGUCGAGCAAGUCUGAUGUGAAAGCCCGGGGCCCAACCCCGGAACUGCAUUGGAAACUGUUUGACUAGAGUGCAGGAGAGGUAAGUGGAAUUCCUAGUGUAGCGGUGAAAUGCGUAGAUAUUAGGAGGAACACCAGUGGCGAAGGCGGCCUACUGGACUGUAACUGACGUUGAGGCUCGAAAGCGUGGGGAGCAAACAGGAUUAGAUACCCUGGUA